rnacentral:rRNA from 1 species
AACGAACGCUGGCGGCAUGCCUAACACAUGCAAGUCGAACGAGACCUUCGGGUCUAGUUGCGCACCGGUGCGUAACGCGUGGGAACCUGCCCUUAGGUUCGGAAUACCUCCCCGAAGGGGGUGCUAAUACCGGAUAAUCUCUUCGGACCUAAGAUUUAUCGCCUUUGGAUGGGCGCGCGUUAGAUUAGCUGGUUGGUAGGGUACAAGCCUAUCAAGGCGACGAUGCAUAGCUGGUCGGAGAGGAUGAUCAGCCAGAAUGGAACUGAGACACGGCCUAGACUCGUACGGAAGGGAGCAGUGGGGAAUAUUGGACAAGGGGGGAAAGCCUAGGACAGCAAUGCGGCGUGAGUGAUGAAGGGCUUAGGGUUGUAAAGCUGUUUUACACGGGAUGAUAAUGACAGUACCGGGAGAAGAAGCUCCGGCUAACUACGUG